GACGAACGCUGGCGGCGUGCCUAAUACAUGCAAGUAGGACGCACAGUCUAUACCGUAGCUUGCUACACCAUAGGCUGUGAGUUGCGAACGGGUGAGUAACGCGUAGGUAACCUGCCUAUUAGAGGGGGAUAACUAUUGGAAACGAUAGCUAAUACCGCAUAACAGUAUGUAACACAUGUUAGAUGCUUGAAAGAUGCAAUUGCAUCGCUAGUAGAUGGACCUGCGUUGUAUUAACUAGUAGGUAGGGUAAUGGCCUACCUAGGCGACGAUACAUAGCCGACCUGAGAGGGUGAUCGGCCACACUGGGACUGAGACACGGCCCAGACUCCUACGGGAGGCAGCAGUAGGGAAUCUUCGGCAAUGGGGGGAACCCUGACCGAGCAACGCCGCGUGAGUGAAGAAGGUUUUCGGAUCGUAAAGCUCUGUUGUUAAGGAAGAACGAGUGUGAGAAUGGAAAGUUCAUACUGUGACG
rnacentral:rRNA from 1 species